rnacentral:rRNA from 1 species
AUGGAUCGUCCGUGCAAGCAGGCGGCGGAAUCGGGCUCCCGCGUCCCGGACGAGCUGCUGGAGGACAUCUUCGCGCGGAUGCCGGCCAAGUCGGUGCAGCGCUGCCGCUGCCUCUCUCGCGCCUGGGCUGCGGUGCUCUCCUCCAGCGGCUUCGCCGACCGCCACCUCCGCCUCGCCAACCGCCGGGACGGCUCCCGCAGCCUCUUCUUCCUCCCAGAUCCCGGCUCGGGCGACGACACCACGGUGCACGCGUGGUCGCCCCGCCGCCCCCUCGUCGCCGUCCUCCGCGACGAGCGCCUCCGCCGCGUUGCCGCCGUCACCCGCCAGUGCCGCGGCCUCGUCCUUCUUGAGGCCAAAGGCGAUAACCUGAUCUCCGUCUGCAACCCGGCCCGCGGGCACUCCAGCUACACGGUGGACCACUACGUCUACAACCCGUCCACCGGCCAGGUGACGGCGCUCCCGGAGGGCAAGGAGGCGUCCGGCGUCUGGCCGCAGAACCAUGCCAUCCUCGGGCUCGGCUACGACACAGGCAUCCGGAAGCACAAGGUGGUGCGCCUCUACUGCCGCGGCGAGCUCCCUCCGGCGUGCGAGGUCUAUGUGCUCGACUCCACGGGGUACUGGCGGCCGCCGUCCGGUGCCGCCAGGACGAUGCCGCCGGCCUCGGCAACCAAUUACUGCACCGACCAGAGCGUCUUUGCGCAGGGCCACGUGUACUGGGCCGCCCAGCCGCACAAGAAGUACACAGGCAAAAGGGUCAUCAUGUCAUUCUCGAUGGCAGAUGAGGUGUUCGGGAUUUUGCCACCACCAGACAUGGACACGGUGCACUGGCGAAUAACAGAGCUUGGCGGGCACCUCUGCCUCUUCAAAGACAUCACCGUUGUGUGCUCAUACGACGUCUGGAUUCUGCGAGACCCCCUGGAGGGCGCUUGGGACCUACAUUGCCGCAUCAACUUGGACGCGGCGUCUCCAGCAGCAGCACAACUGAGAUGCUCCACGAGCGUCAUCCCACUCGACAUCGUUGAUGAUGGCAACCGCGUGCUGCUCAGGCCAGAGCCUCGCAAUAUCUGUAGAGAAAAUUUGGGUGCCCAUCAACUUGUUGUGUACGACCCUGCGAUCGGAGAUGUCGAGGACCUUCUUGCUGGCGGCAGCAUGGUUUCUCACCACACCAUGGCGCGAAGACCCGCGGCACCGUAUGAGGAAAGCAUCGAGUCUACCGGGCGGCCGCAUGAGGACAUCAUCUUCUCGUCCACCUCCUCACAGGUCCUGGCGCAGGUGCUGCGUCGGCUACCAGCCCGCACCCUUGGGCGGCUCAAGUGUGUCUGUCGGACCUGGUGCGCCAUCAUCGAGUCUGGCCGCUUCAUCAGGCUGCACUACGAGCACACAUGCAAGAGCUCCCUUGCUUGCGUCGUCCUCUCCAUGCCUCAUAGUCGGAGGUUCGCCUCACUGGAUUCUUGCCUGAACGACCUGAAACUGGCAUGCCAAAUGCAGCAGCUACAUCGUAGGGUGGUGAGCUCGAAGCCCUGCCAUGGCCUCCUCCUCAUGGCCCACAACAACUAUGGUGUUCACGUGUGCAACCCUGUCACUGGAGCACAUGUUUUCCAUUGCAGUUUGCCUUUUGAGCAGCCAUCGGAUGCUAGUGCUGCUCACCCCGGUUGCGUUGGCUUGGGGUACGACCUAUUGAGGGAAGAGCAUAUCAUCAUGGUUCUUGCCUAUAAAUCUCGCAACUUUGACACUGGGAGCUACACCAUGGAGUGCAGCAUCCGGAGGCUAACGGAUUGCAUGACAAAGAAGGUGGCUCCUUCGCCACCGAUCCCAGUGACCGUCGAUGUACCACCGGUCUAUGCAGGUGGCAAGAUGUACUGGAUGGGGGAGUCACGAUUCAGUGCGGGCUGCUCAUCAGUUCUUGUGUUUGACAUCUGCAGCAAGGCUUUCAAUGUCCUACCAGCACCACGCACCAUGGGCGACAGUGGUAGGAUGCUCGUGGCGGAGCUCGCCAGGCAGAUUCGUGUCGUGCACAUUUGCCCAAAUACAGAGACGAUGACCAUAUGGCGCAAGCGGGAGCUAGUUACACUUGACGAUGGCCAAGGAUGGACAAUAGAGCACUGGAUACAGCUUGGACAGUGGCCAGAGUUCUCACUGAGAACAGCGGCGAGGCUUGUGAUUCCGUUGGCUGUUGACGACGCCGGCCGGAUCUUACUCGACACUGGAAGGGCGCUGGGGUACUAUGAUCCAAGAAACCAGACAUUGGAGACCGUGUUUCCGACUAGCAGUCUGCAGCACUCCUGCCCACGCUUCUUUUCUGCGGUGUUGUGCGAGGACAGCUUAGUUCGUCCAUAUGGUCGGCAACGUCAGUACUAUGGAACUUAA